GCUUCGAUGGCCGAGUGGUUAAGGCGUUGGACUCGAAAUCCAAUGGGAUAUUCCCGCGCAGGUUCGAAUCCUGGUCGCAGCG
rfam:Ciona savignyi cont_36265, whole genome shotgun sequence.